AUGAUGAAGCACUCGGCAGAGAACUUCAGGAUCAAGGGCUUUGACGGGGGCGACGCUGUCGACCUGAUCUCGCUGCUCACGGAAGAGUGGGACGUGCUCACCCCGACAGCUCUGGGAGGAGUCAUAAACAAUUUAUCUUCUUCUCCUAGGGACAAUGCUGAUGCCAUCAAAGCAAAGUACAUCAUCGAGGCUGCUAACCACCCAACAGACCCCGAGGCCAACGAGAUUCUGGCAAAGAAGGGCGUGCCGAUCCUACCGGACAUCCUAGCCAACUCCGGUGGAGUGAUGGUGAGCUACUUCGAGUGGGUGCAAAACAUCCAGGGGUUCAUGUGGGAUGAGGAGAAGGUGAAUCGGGAGCUCAAGACAUACAUGACCCACACCUCAAACAUAUUUCUGAUUAUUUAG
rnacentral:rRNA from 1 species